UAUGUGCGGGGUGCUACGAGCGUCGCGUUUGUUUGAUCGUGUGUUUUUGUGUUUGCUGCUAUGAAGUAGGUCGCAGUUAGCGUGCACAGAAGUGCCUGAAGAUACCUUGUGUCACGCUGCAAACUCGCCGUAUGCGUGGCGCGCCAGGCAAAUGUGGCCCAACGAUUUUAUGCCGUGGAGUGCGGUCUCUUUGUUCUCGUUCUGGAAAGUUGGGUGGACGUCGCAAAGAAUGUGUGUUAGCGCGCCUCAGCUCGUCCACUACGCAGCGGCAUGUAUGCGGGGAGUAACAUCGUCGACGCAGCACCGGCAACUUGGAGAGUGCUUCGCGACCGCGUCGUACCAUUCAAAAGUGGCGAGGCUGUGACCCAUAACAGUGCCUACAUAACGGAGGAGCCACCAGACCCCUUGGCUAUGCCUGCCGUAGUGCAACGUAUAAUCUGGAUGGUCGGGUCAGGUACACCUAGGAAAUGUUGUAUACAUUGGCAACGAUAACUGGGGCCUGUUCCAGUGCCAUCGCCGGGAUUCCCUGUUCUGCAAAGAACUGACAUAACUGAUGUGGGGAGCCCUGGCGCUCGGUGUAGGAGUAUCACAGGGGCUCCUUGUCGAUGCUUGGACGGCAAUGCUGUUGAGAAGCCGACAUUGAGCCCCGAUAAAUUGGAAGCUGUGGGUAGUAAGUAUCAUUCACAUUUUUUCAAGUUUUUGUAAUGUUUGUAACAAUGCAUGUAUUGCACCGAAAUGAUUAACUUUUCAGAUGCAUUUGAUGCAUAUCUUUCGAAAUGUGGUACCCCUCAGGAGAAAAAAAUCAUCUUCUCAUGCUUGGUUUUGGCCGAGCGGUUGAAUCGAGUGACAAAGUUUUUCGCGUUUAGGUAGCCUAAGAAGAAACAAAAGCAGAAUUAACAAACCAGCUUAUUUGUGGCUACUCAUGAGUUGCAUUUCUUUGUUUAAAAGUGCCUGUGAAGUGGCGCUAACCUAGUUAUCAGGUCCAGAAUUUUCGAUUAACACCGCUUCCAAAAGCUCGCGUUCUAAUUUGGUUUUUUCAAGGCCAGAACUUCCGUAUUCGUCAUCCGCGGAUAGCAACGGCAACUUUUGCAGUGUAGAGCAAUAUUCAACCCUUCUCCCGAUAUGCAACACCUGUAGCGUAGUUGUAGCUGGUCGUUCAGGCACUGAAUUGCU